AUUGAACGCUGGCGGCAGGCUUAACACAUGCAAGUCCAGCGAGCGGCUGACGUGUGAGUAAUGUCUGGGAAACUGCCUGAUGGAGGGGGAUUACUCAUGGAUACGGUAGCUAAUAACGCAUACCAUCAGUUGCACCCCGAUGGGAUUAGCUAGAAGGUGGGGUAAUGGCUCACCUAGGCGACUAGCCCUAGCUGGUCUGAGAGGAUGACCAGCCACACUUGAACUGAGACACGAUCCAGACGCCUACGGGAGGCAGCAGUGGGGAAGAUUGCACAAUGGGCGCAAGCCUGAUGCAGCCAUGCCGGGUGUUUGUAGUAGGGCUUCGGGUUGUAAAGCACUUUCAGCGAGGAGGCGUUACUCGCAGAAGAGGGACCGGCUAACACCGGGCCAGCCGCCGCGGUAAUUC
rnacentral:rRNA from 1 species